rnacentral:rRNA from 1 species
AUUGAACGCUGGCGGAAUGCUUUACACAUGCAAGUCGAACGGCAGCACGGACUUCGGUCUGGUGGCGAGUGGCGAACGGGUGAGUAAUGUAUCGGAACGUGCCCAGUCGUGGGGGAUAACGUAGUGAAAAUUACGCUAAUACCGCAUACGCUCUACGGAUGAAAGCGGGGGACCGUAAGGCCUCGCGCGAUUGGAGCGGCCGAUGUCAGAUUAGGGAGUUGGGUAGGUAAAGGCUCACCAAGCCGACGAUCGGUAGCUGGUCUGAGAGGACGACCAGCCACACUGGGACUGAAGCACGGCCCAGACUCCUACGGGAGGCAGCAGCGGGAAAUUUUGGACAAUGGGCGCAAGCCUGAUCCAGCCAUUCCGCGUGCAGGAUGAAGGCCCUCGGGUUGUAAACUGCUUUUGUACAGAACGAAAAGGUUUCUACUAAUACUAGGAGCUCAUGACGGUACUGUAAGAAUAAGCACCGGCUAACUACGUGCCAGCAGCCGCCGUAA